GUAAAAAGUAAUUCAGUGGCUUAGUAAAUUUCACAAAAAUAAAGAGCUAUAUUUACUUAAUAAAAUCUUUUGAAAUCAUUUAAGUGAUAUUUUGAGUGGGUCAGGUUAAAAAUAAUAAUUAAAAAUCCAACAAAUAAUUUCUCUAAAAUUUACAUAUAUUAUUUAAGUUUAUGUAAUGAAAAUAAAUAAGUAUUUAACUAACUAAUUAUAUUUUUAAUAUACCCUCAAUAUUUCUGGUGAAUUCUAAUAUAAAUAUUUGAUAAUUAUUUACUUGUACUGAUCUGUUUUAGAAACUAAAAUUAUUAAGUAUUUCCUACCAAUUUUCCUAAAUAAAGCUCCAGCUUAAUAAAUGACGGUUUAAAUAAAUUGAGUAAAUUUCGCGGCUAAAGUGAUCACGUGUGCAGCUCCGCAGGAAAAAAAAAAAUCUGCUUUCCUCAGCAGAGACGUCGACUAGCCAUACUCCUCACAACUCCUGGUAAGUAACGUUAGUCAGCUAAUCCUACUUACGUUUGUAACACUUUAUUAUAAAGUUAAUAAUUAUUAAGCAUUUCCUAACAAUUGUCUUUGUAUUUUACGUCAUCUUCAACAAGUUUCGUAGCUUAAUCGAAGUCACCUGAAGGACGGCUUUCCUGAAUUUCCUCAGCAACGGCAAGACCCGCACUCCUCUCAUAUCUUGAAGUUUAACGAGUUUCGCGGCUCAAGCAAGAGGCACCUGUCACUGAAGGACUGCUUUUCUCAGCAACGACGUGAACAGCAUCACUCGAAUUUCCUUCACCGCAGCUGUUUCACAACAAAUCCAGACCUGGUGGGUAUUGAAGGACAGCGGAGGCUGGGGGAGGGGUACAUUGCAUUUCAAGGGUUCAGCUGAUCUACCGGUCUUCGUACAAGCAGAGUUGGCAGAGGAGGUCAUAAAAAUCUACAUCCUUCGGGACAAUGAUGGGGCAGUCAGCGAUGUAGGAGUUGUGAUUGAGGGCAUCACUGUCCUCCGCAGUCUUGGGAAUCUCAGCAGAGUCUGCUGCUAUCUUUUGGGAGUCACGUAUGCAUUGGAUUUGAGAUAUUCCAAGACCCACAAAUACAGGUCCUCCUCAAAAAAUUAGCUUAUUGUGAUAAAGUUCAUUAUUUUCCAUAAUGUAAUGAUAAAAAUUUAACUUUCAUAUUUUAGAUUCAUUGCACACCAACUGAAAUAUUUCAGGUCUUUUAUUGUUUUAAUACUGAUGAUUUUGGCAUACAGCUCAUGAAAACCCCAAAUUCUCAAAAAAUUAGCAUAUUUCAUCCGACCAAUAAAAGAAAAGUGUUUUUAAUACAAAAAAGCUCAUCCAGAGUGUUGGGUCUUGCGUCUCUCAACUUUCUCUUCACAAUAUCCCACAGAUUCUCCAUGGGGUUCAGGUCAGGAGAGUUGGCAGGCCAAUUGAGCACAGUAAUACCAUGGUCAGUAAACCAUUUACUAGUGGUUUUGGCACUGUGGGCAGGUGCCAGGUCAUGCUGAAAAACAAAAUCUUCAUCUCCAUAAAGCUUUUCAGCAGAUUGAAGCAUGAAGUGCUCCAAAAUCUCCUGAUAGCUAGCUGCAUUGACCCUGCCCUUGAUAAAACCAGUGGACCAACACCAGCAGCUGACAUGGCACCCCAGACCAUCACUGACUGUGGGUACUUGACACUGGACUUCAGGCAUUUUGGCAUUUCCUUCUCCCCAGUCUUCCUCCAGACUCUGGCACCUUGAUUUCCGAAUGACAUCCAAAAUUUGCUUCCAUCCGAAAAAAGUACUUUGGACCACUGAGCAACAGUCCAGUGCUGCUUCUCUGUAGCCCAUUUCCUGCACACGCCUGUGCACGGUGGCUCUGGAUGUUUCUACUCCAGACUCAGUCCACUGCUUCCGCAGGUCCCCCAAGGUCUGGAAUCGGUCCUUCUCCACAAUCUUCCUCAGGGUCCGGUCACCUCUUCUCGUUGUGCAGCGUUUUUUGCCACACUUUUUCCUUCCCACAGACUUCCCUCUGAGGUGCCUUGAUACAGCACUCUGGGAACAGCCCAGAAUUUCUUUCUGUGUCUUACCCUCUCGCUUGAGGGUGUCAAUGAUGGCCUUCUCAGGUUGGCAGUCUUACCCAUGAUUGGGAUUUUGAGUAAUGAACCAGGCUGGGAGUUUUUAAAAGCCUCAGGAAUCUUUUGCAGGUGUUUAGAGUUAAUUAGUUGAUUCAGAUGAUUAGGUUAAUAGCUCGUUUAGAUAACCUUUUCAUGAUAUGCUAAUUUUUUGAGAUAGGAAUUUUGGGUUUUAAUGAGCUAUAUGCCAAAAUAAUC